CCUCGGGUGGCACCAGUGGGGAAUAUUGCACAAUGGGCGCAAGCCUGAUGCAGCCAUGCCGCGUGUAUGAAGAAGGCCUUCGGGUUGUAAAGUACUUUCAGCGGGGAGGAAGGCGAUAAGGUUAAUAACCUUGUCGAUUGACGUUACCCGCAGAAGAAGCACAGGCUAACUCCGUGCCAGCAGCCGCGGUAAUACGGAGGGUGCAAGCGUUAAUCGGAAUUACUGGGCGUAAAGCGCACGCAGGCGGUCUGUCAAGUCGGAUGUGAAAUCCCCGGGCUCAACCUGGGAACUGCAUUAGAAACUGGCAGGCUGGAGUCUUGUAGAGGGGGGUAGAAUUCCAGGUGUAGCGGUGAAAUGCGUAGAGAUCUGGAGGAAUACCGGUGGCGAAGGCGGCCCCCUGGACAAAGACUGACGCUCAGGUGCGAAAGCGUGGGGAGCAAACAGGAUUAGAUACCCGAGUAGUC
rnacentral:rRNA from 1 species